UUUAUAAAGAUAGAUGCAAGAAUUCAGAUUCUAAUGAGUCUGUAUAAGAAGCACAAGAUUAUUCCUGGUAGAUUUAGGUGAUGGUACAUGCAGAUGCAUGUACACUUCAGGCCUCAAGCCCCAGACUGACAGUGUACCACCUACAAACACAGACCCAGCCAUCAGCACCCCUGGUCAGGCUGAAAACCUGCAUGCAUCCAUUCCAGAGUCUGUGGGCUCUGCCACCCCAGCUGCUCCUUAGUGCUUUGUCCACGUGGAAGUUGUGGGUCAGGGUUAGAAGCCCCAUUUCCCUCUCCCUGGACCUGGAAAAUAGUCCUCGAGGCACAGCUCACUUAUACUGGGCAGAGUGCCCAGAGCUGCUCACAGCCCGCCUGCCGACCCUCUCCCCAGGGCCUCCAAGAAAGGGCUCUGUAAGCACCCCCACCCCACAGAUGGGGACACAAGAGGCUCCGGCACAAGCAGACAGUCCUGCUGCUGGGAAAAGGCAGAGUAGAGACCCGAACCCCACAGCAGAAGUGUCUCAGGGUGCCUCCUGGGGAGACAGCUGACCUGGGCAGCUCCCCACUGGAUGAAGACUUAGCUGCAGCCUCUGAGUAGGACCCCAAGUAGGGGUCAGAGCUGUUCUGGGAAGAGCCCCCUGUUGGCACUGGAGCCCUGCAGCCCACGAAACCCUCGGAGGUCAUCGCAGGCUCCCCGGGGCACUGCAGCACCCUGCAGGCAGUUAAUGAGGCGGUCUCCUGAGAAAUUACAUCAUUUAACAACCCCAGAAGUAUCCAGCAGAGGAGCUAUUUAUUUCCACUUCUCAACGGAGGGAUCUGCAGCUCAGAGAGGUUUUAGGAUUCGAAGAUGUCUUUCUCAAGAACCUUGCAGCCAUCCUUUCAAACUGCAGACAUCAAGGGAGACAGCUCGCUUGUCAGUUCCUGUGGGAGGACAGGAGUCUCAUCGUAGUGGACACCUUGCUCCAACAUGAAAACUGUCUCCAAUAGAGAGGGAUCAAACCUCACCACUCAUCACAUCAACACCUAAUGUACAGGAAACAGGGGGAAGGGUGAACAGUGAAACAGCAUGAGAGACUCAAAAGGCCACAUCUAGAGUGUGCCAAAUUGUGAUGAACAAAUGACAGAAAAUUAUAAAAAACAGAUAAUACGAAUUUUAAAAGAUGCUUUACUUCUUUCUCACCACUUGCAGUCAACACAAUUUUGGAAGUCCUAGCCACAGCAAUCAGAAAAGCGAAAGAAAGAAAAAUAAUCCAAAUUGGAAAGGAAGAAGUAAAACUGUCACUGUUUGCAGAUGACAUGAUACUAUACAUAGAAAAUCUUAAAGACGCCCCCAGAAAAAUCCAUUGAGCUCAUCAAUGAAUUAGGUACCGCUGCAGGAUCCAAAAUUAACAUGUAGAAAUUUGUUUCAUUUCUGUAUAGUAACAGUGAACAGUCAGAAAGGAAAAUUAAGGAGACGAGUCCAAUUACCAUAUCAAAAAUAAUAAAAUACCGAGCAAUCAAUCUAUCUCAGGAGGUAAAAGGCCUGUCCUUGGAAAACUAUUAAGACACCGAUGACAGAAACUGAAGAUGACACAGACAGGUGGAAAGACAUACCGUGUCCUUGGACUGCAAGAUUCAGUAUUGUUAAAACGACCACACUACCCAAGGCAAUCUACAGAUUUCAGUGCAACCCCUGUCAAAUUACCAAUGGCAUUUUUCACAGAAAUGGAACAAAAAAUGACCCCAAACAGCCAUAACAAUCUAAAGAAUGGAGCUGGAGGAAUCACUCCCUGACAUCAGACUAUACUGAAGAACUAGAGUAAUCAGAAAGUAUGAUGUCAGCCUGAAAACAGACACAUAGAUCAACAGAACCGAACAGAGAGCCCAGAAAUAAACCCACACACUUGGGGUCAGUUGAAUCUACGACACAGGGUCAAGAACAUACGAUGAACAAAAGACAGUCUCUCUCAAUAAGUGGUGCUGGGAAAACCGGGCAGUUACAUGUAAAAGAAUGCAAUCAGAACAUUCUCAGACACCAUACACAAAAGUAAACAAGAUGGAGUACAACCUAAAUGUAAGACCAGAUACUA